GUAAAAUUUUUCCAGGAUUUCACAAGAUAUAACUGUAAUAUUUCACAGUUAAUUACAUUAUUACCACUUCACAGGCUUUAACUGUGAUCAUUCACGAUAUAAUACCGUAUUUAGACUUUUACUGUGAAAAUAAUGCAGGCGCGGGGCUUUUACAAGAAACUACUGUGAAUGCCGUCUUUUUUGAGUGGCAACUGCGGCAGCGUCAUCAGAGCGUCAUCAGAGCUCUCUGAUCUACGUGGUCUCAUUCGGUGGAUUCAGACAGCGGUAAGUGUUUAAAUGUCAAACUUUAUCAAUUUGAUGUUUUUUAUAUGAUAGUGCAUGUAAUUUAAAAGUAUGAACCAAAUUAGCGUUAGUUGUAGGUUCUGUUGUCAUGUUUUUGUAACCUAGCUGGAGCAGACUCGCAUCAACGUUUAAGCGCGCAAAUUUGAAUGACAAGACGUUGGUUGUAGUGUUAAUUAUACCGUAUUAAGUUAACUGUGAGAUGUCUGAUUAGAUACACCGUCGAACAUUUAACUUUAGCUUUACUUAAAGCUUAUCUUAGUUACUCUAACAGCGUUCUCUCUUUUACCACAGCAUUUUCUACAUUGACCGAAGAUAAAAAAAAAAAGUUAUAAGGUGCUUCUUGGGCAUCAACCCAGAGACGGGCACAAAAUCUAAGAGGGAGAGAGGUCACAUGAACCAGCAAGUCUGCACUCUUAUCAGGAAGCUCAUUGACUUCGAAUGGAUGUCAAUCUAAUUGGAUAGAACCCACACUAUGCAGGUGCCAGCUGCGAGGGAAGGAGAGAGACACCUGCGACCCUCUCUAUUCCCACCUUUUUGUCUUUUCUUACAUCUCUCUCCCUCACUCUCUCUUCUCUGUCUCCUUCUUUCUCUUUUGACACACAUUCCUGUUACCCAGUGUCAAUCCCUGUUGCCCAGUGUUUUAUUCAUGUAAUUAAAUUGUAUUUUACUUCUAAAAAAUAAAAGUUAUGUCACUGUUUUUAUCA